rnacentral:rRNA from 1 species
GUAGGGAAUCUUGCGCAAUGGGCGAAAGCCUGACGCAGCCAUGCCGCGUGAAUGAUGAAGGUCUUAGGAUUGUAAAAUUCUUUCACCGGGGACGAUAAUGACGGUACCCGGAGAAGAAGCCCCGGCUAACUUCGUGCCAGCAGCCGCGGUAAUACGAAGGGGGCUAGCGUUGCUCGGAAUUACUGGGCGUAAAGGGAGCGUAGGCGGAUAGUUUAGUCAGAGGUGAAAGCCCAGGGCUCAACCUUGGAAUUGCCUUUGAUACUGGCUAUCUUGAGUAUGGAAGAGGUAUGUGGAACUCCGAGUGUAGGUGAAAUUCGUAGAUAUUCGGAGGAACACCAGUGGCGAAGGCGGCUCACUGGCUCGAUACUGACGCUGAGGUGCGAAAGCGUGGGGAGCAAACAGGAUUAGAUACCCUUGUAGUCC